UACAGAGGUCUCAAGCGUUGUUCGGAUUCAUUGGGCGUAAAGGGUGCGUAGGUGGCGAGGUUAGUCAGGUGUGAAAUCUCGGAGCUUAACUCCGAAACUGCAUUCGAUACUGCCGUGCUUGAGGACUGGAGAGGAGACUGGAAUUUACGGUGUAGCGGUGAAAUGCGUAGAUAUCGUAAGGAAGACCAGUGGCGAAGGCGGGUCUCUGGACAGUUCCUGACGCUGAGGCACGAAGGCCAGGGGAGCAAACGGG
rnacentral:rRNA from 1 species